AUGCUCCGUCAUCCCGUGCGAAGUCCGCUCCAAGGUGGGGCAGGCGUUCGGAGGCCAGCCGAGCUCGGGACAGGAGUGCCCGCGCGGGGUCUCUGGGUAGAACCGCUUUCCUGGACACAGCGGUCCUUGGCUACCCGGCCCCCGCCCGAAGGAUACCUGGCGGAAGCCGGAGUCGUAGCGGCGGAGACCCCUGUGCGGUGCGGAGGGGGCGGCAGCCCCAACUCUGACCCGCGCCGGGGGUGGGCCACGGUGGAGAUCAGCUACCUGGACCGGCAGAUCGAACAGCUGCCGCGCUGCGAGCUCAUUAAGGAGAAGUCAAGGCCCUGUGUGCUAAGGCCAGAGAGAUCUUGGUAGAGGAGAGCAACGUGCAGAGGGUGGACUCGCCAGUCACAGUAUGUGGUGACAUACAUGGACAAUUCUAUGACCUCAAGGAGCUGUUCAGAGUGGGUGGUGACGUCCCUGAGACCAACUACCUCUUCAUGGGGGACUUUGUGGACCGUGGCUUCUAUAGCGCGAAACGUUCCUCCUGCUGCUGGCACUUAAGUUUCGCUGUCCUGACCGCAUCACCCUGAUCUGUGACAACCACGAGAGCCGCCAGAUCACCCAGGUCUACGGCUUCUAUGACAAGUGCCUGCGCAAAUACAGCUCGGUGACUGUGUGGCGCUACUGCACCAAGAUCUUUGACUGCCUCAGCCUGUCAGCCAUCAUGGAUGGCAAGAUCUGUGUGCAUGGGGGCCUAUCCCCUCUAUCCACACCCUGGACCAGAUCCGGACGAUUGACCGAAAGCAAGAGGUGCCUCAUGACGGGCCCAUGUGCAACUCCUCUGGUCCGACCCUGGAGACACAACAGGCUGGGGUGUGAGCCCACGUGGGGCCGGCUACCUAUUUGGCAGUGACAUGGUGGCCCAGUUCAAUGCAGCCAAUGACACUGACAUGAUCUGCUGGGCCCACCGACUAAUGAUGGAAGGUUACAAGUGGCACUUCAAUGAGACCGUGCUCGCUGUGUGGUCAGCACCCAACUACUGCUACAGCUGUGGGAACGUGGCAGCCAUCUUGGAGCUGGACGAGCAUCUCCAGAAAGAUUUCAUCAUCUUCGAGGCCGCUCCCCAAGAGACCCGGGGCAUCCCCUCCAAGAAGCCUGUGGCUGCCUACUUCCUGUGACCCUCGGCCCCUGCCCCCUCC